rnacentral:rRNA from 1 species
CCUACGGGAGGCAGCAGUGGGGAAUAUUGGGCAAUGGGCGCAAGCCUGACCCAGCAACGCCGCGUGAAGGAAGAAGGCUUUCGGGUUGUAAACUUCUAUCAGCAGGGAAGAAAAUGACGGUACCUGACUAAGAAUCCCCGGCUAACUACGUUCCAGCAGCCGCGGUAAUACGUAGGGGGCAAGCGUUAUCCGGAUUUACUGGGUGUAAAGGGAGCGUAGACGGUAUGGCAAGUCUGAUGUGAAAACCCGGGGCUCAACCCCGGGACUGCAUUGGAAACUGCCGAACUAGAGUGUCGGAGAGGCAAGUGGAAUUCCUAGUGUAGCGGUGAAAUGCGUAGAUAUUAGGAGGAACACCAGUGGCGAAGGCGGCUUGCUGGACGAUGACUGACGUUGAGGCUCGAAAGCGUGGGGAGCAAACAGGAUUAGAUACCCCGGUAGUC